rnacentral:snRNA from 16 species
UGUCGCUUCUACUAACUGUUUCAUACUUAUCUUUCGCCUUUUACUAAAGAUAACUGAGUUGGAGAAUUAACAGCGACACAAAAAAUUUUUGGAGGGUUCAUUCGGACCUG